ensembl:processed_transcript Gm2822 predicted gene 2822
GUUUGUGUCCUGGAUUUCACUACCCGGGGUUGCGCCUCCAGCAGCUAGGAGGAAAGAACACUUUCUCCUCGCCAGUGGGCGCUCGGAUGCUUGCGGACAUGACUGAUCGCGCCGCGUACCGCCGGCACACAGUGGAUGGCGCUGCCCAAAACCUACCGGGACUGUCCCUGCCGCGAGUCCACUCGGAACACCAGCUCUGCAGCCUCGGAGCCCAGUUUUGUAUUUAGGAAUCUGACAGAAAUUGUCAGUCCUUUGUGGGGUUGAUGAAUUCGUCUUCUCUGCACUGAAUCACCUACACAUCCCCUGCCCGUGGGAAUUGCUGGUCCAACUUGCAACUGUUGAAAGAGACAAAUGACUUCACUUUAUACUAUAUGCCUUUAGCUCGGUGACAAUGAAUCUAUGUCUGGACUCCUCCGUGAAGACUGCUGAACAACUCCACCUUGAUCAUAGAAGGUGAUAGGCAAUAGACAUAUUAGACAGUGAUUAAUUCAAUAGCUAGUGAUUAAUUCAGACCCUCAAAACUGGUGAAAGUCCUGAGAAUAAAUAGGGCUGAGCAUGGGACACUGGUAUGAACACCCGUAAGAUGCUGUCUUCCGAACAUAAUAUGGUUGACCUGGCUGUUCAUUCAUGAAUUCACAGCAAGACCUACACACGAUGGAGCCUGUCAAUCAAUAUUCUAGCAUACCAGGGCAGGAAGGGCGUAUGAGCCAGUAGUGAGGAGAUUAUUGGAAAUGAAUGGCUGCUGAGAGAUGCCAUCUAUUUUCUUCCAGUAAAGAGCCUAACACCCAUGCUCAUGUUUGGAACCCUAAUUAAACUCAGUGAGUCACUGUCUUAAUCAGGGUUUCUAUUCCUGCACAAACAUCAUGACCAAGAAGCAAGUUGGGGAGGAAAAGGUUUAUUCAGCUUACACUUCCAUACUGCUNNNNNNNNNNNNNNNNNNNNNNNNNNNNNNNNNNNNNNNNNNNNNNNNNNNNNNNNNNNNNNNNNNNNNNNNNNNNNNNNNNNNNNNNNNCUUACAAAUGUAUCUCAUGGAGGCAUUUCCUCAACUGAAGCUCCUUUCUCUGUGAUAACUCCAGCCUGUGUCAAGUUGACACAAAACUAGCCAGUACAGUCACUAAAAGAAAAGAAACCAAGAUCACAAACUAAAGCCUGGAUAUGCUCAGUUCCGAUUUUUGAGGGCCUGAGGUGAGACAGCUCUGGUAGUAAAGGCACUUUCUGCUAAGGCCAAUGAGUUUGAUCCUAAGAGGCUACAUGGUGGAAGGAGAGAACUGAGUGCCAGGAGUUAUGCUCUGACCUUCACAAGUGUGCUGUAUCAUGCUCAGACACAAACACACAUACAUAAUAAAAUAAACCAAUCCAGAUUCAAAACAGAGAUUGCUGAACAAAGACUGAAACCCCCCAUCUCAUCCUACCCUGUCCAGGUGUAUAUUUAGUCUUGUUAUGAAAGACAAAAACAAACAAGCAAAAAAACAAAACCUGAUUGGUCUUAUAUAUGCUGAAUAUAUAUUACUUUUGUAAAUUUAAAAAGAGGUAACUUUACUUCUUUAUACCUCCAAAUGUUGUGGAAUGGUCCUGCUUGUCUAUGAUGAGAGUUGCCAAAGUAUGCCUAUAUACUUUAAUAUAAGAGGCAGAUGGAAAAGAAAUUCUAGUCUUGUCCACCAUGAUGGUAAAGCUGGAAUCCUGCAACAAAGUUUGCCCAUCCUUAAAUUAUGCAGCUUUCGACUUCCAUGGAAAUCACAAACAGAAAUUUGCUACAUCUAGACUUCAACAACAACCAGUGUACUAACAAGCCGAGUAACUUGAAACUCAGUAUUUAAUUCCCCUCUGCUCACGGGCAAAAUGGAAAUCUUGAUGGUUGUCUUGCCGAGUUGAUACAAGGACUUGAAAUGAUAUAUUCAGGUACUCAAGUGGUGCCCAGUAUAGAAAAGAUGGACCUCAGGGACUUGAGAGAUGGCUCAGCAGCUAACAGCCCACACUGCCUUUGCAGAAUACCAGAGUCCAUAGCUCAGCACCCACAUCAGGCAGCUCCCAAUGUCUUGUAACUCAAGAAGAUCCACUGCCUAUUCUGGCCUCCACAGGCAACUACAUUCACAUGCACGUACCCACACACAGGCAUACACACACCCGCACAUAAUUAAAAAUAAAAUAUUUGUAAAAGAAGCUACCUUUGAAAACAAAAUCACACUAGCUUCUUCAGCAUUUUCCCAAGUCCUCUAUGAGCCACAGAUGAUAAUUUCCAUUAACGUAAAAGGAUCAAAGAUCCACAUAUCAGAAGCCACAAGGGCAGCCUUUGUAGAUGUCCUGUAAAGGGGACUGCUGGCCAUCUAUCAGGCCUUUGGGAUCACACACAAAAAACAGUUCAACAAUUCCUACCCUCUCCAUCCCCCUAAAUCCAGUGCUUUCUUCCCCCUCCUGGUCAGCCUUCUCUCUGUUUCUCAAACAUACUCUUUUCUACUUCAGGGCCUUUGCAGACUCCUGCCAGGACUGUGCUUGCCCAAGCUCCUUACACAGCCUUCUCCAUCAGUGCUACCCCACAGCCUUCCUAUAAGUAUUCCCUGGCCUCUGCUGUGAGGUUCCAUACCACGCUACUCCUGAUCUGCUCUGUUAUCUUCAUAGCACUUAACAUCUACUUAGAUUUUUUGGUUGGUUGGUUGGUUGGUUGGUUGGUUGGUUGGUUGGUUGGUUUGGUUUUGGUUUUUAUUUUGUAGGAUGGGGGUUGGUUUUUGGGUUUGUUCAGAGUUUUUUGUUGUUUGUUUGUUUGUUUGUUUGUUUUCUACCAGUAAAAUAUUGAGUAAGACUCAAUAAAGAGGUUCCACCUUU